rfam:Oleiphilus sp. HI0009 HI0009_c2055, whole genome shotgun sequence.
ACUAAAUAGAUGCCUUAGGGUAUCUACAGGUUGUGCUAAGAGGAAAUCUGGUGAGAAUCCAGAACUGACGCGCAGCGGUAAUAGGGAACGAAAGCGACACGAUUGGUAUCUCAUAUAGAUUAAGAUCAGGCACUGGAAAGAGCUCCGGGAAGCCGUCGCCGUAGAAAACUAAGCUCAGCUUAUUUGCCCUUAAGUCCGAAGACCUGCCAACGCAGUUCAUCCACA